CAAUUUAUUAUUUUUUCUGCAUUUACUUGUAUGCCUGAUUUAUGGACAACAGUUAACUGGGUAGAGAUCAGUAUUUCCCAUCUUCUAUUUCCAUUCACCUUGAGCAGAGAUGCCCUGGUUGGGCAUAUCGUUAUGACCUUAUUGAGAUGUUACUGUUGUUUCUGAACAUGGUCCCUUGAGCAGAUAUGAAGCUUGGUUAUGAAAUAAAUAUGGAUUAAAGAACUUGUGAAAUAUCAGAAUCAUAUGCAUAUAAUGAUAUGCAUGUUAAAACACAGCCAGCAAAUUUCACAGUCUCAUCCAAUCUGGAAUAUUUAAUUGACGUAUCAUUUAAUCAAAAAAGAAGGAUCACAUAUUAGGCCACUUUAUACCAGUUGAACAUCAUUUGAUUACUACAUCAUUCCUGAGCAUUGUUGCUGACCAUGUGCAUCCCUUUAUGGUCACAGUCUACCCUUAUUCAAAUGGAUGCUUCCAGCAGGAUAAUACAGAUAGAUAAUAGCGCACCUUCGGGAUGAGGUGGAGCGGGAGGUUCAAAGCAUGAACGUGUGGCCGUAAAAUCUCCUGGAACUGCAUGCUGCUGUCGAGUCAGCAUGAACCAAAAUCCCUAGGGAAUGUUUCCAGUGCCUUGUUGAAUGCAUACCGUGAAGAAUUCAGGCUGUUCUGGAGGCAAAAGGGGGUCCUCCCUGGUACUAGAUACGUGUGCCUAGUUAGAGUGGCCAGUGACUGUAUAUUAUCCUGUUAUACACCACAGUGGUUAUUGCCUCUUGUUUUUUUUUGUUUGUUUUUUUUUGUUUUUGUAAUUACGCAGUUAUAGAAUAAAUGUAUCCUAUAGUAAAAAAGAAAAUGGGUAGUCCAUCAUUACAAACCUGAGAGGAUGAAUAUAGUUGUGAAUAUAAUAAAUUAUGGGAAAAAAAAAUUGGCUAGUGUUUUCAUGUUGUACUGUAAACUCCAAAAAGAAGAAGAGAGCAGUUGUUGGCCCUUCCGCUUUUUUCAGCAGUCUCCAUUUAUCUGUCACAGCACAGGCAUUUCACAGUCAUUUUACACCCUUGUUACUGUAAUACUGUAUUUAUGUUCCAUACUUCAUAGGCAUUUUACACCCUUGUUACUGUAAUAUUUAUGUUCCAUACUUACUGAAGCAGCAGCAAUUAUGUAACCCACUGAUUAUAACAGAAAUGAAUGUGUCCACUUGUCAGAUUAUGUAAUUGCAUAAUGUUUUCUGUAGCGAGCAUGUAAUGUCAUACACAGGUUCUAACAGUAGAUAUUUUAUACACACGGUACUGCAGUGGUUGCAUGUCGAACGACCAAAAACAGGUUUUGUUUCUGAAGCUCAAUUCCCGGUCUUUUUGAGAGACGUUACUCACUAGCGACAGUGUGGCUAGCUCCAGUAUAUAGCUCCAGUAUAGAUCUUUCAGCCACCUGUUUCAAUGUAAGUCAGUGGUACCAAUAUGGUCAAAAUACGAAGUCAAUCAUUUUUUCCCAUAAGAACAUGUAGUCGCAAUAGGUGUUUUUUCUUCAUCUAAUGUCUCCCCAUGUGCCGAUUUGUCAUUCAAUCAAACUGUGAAGAGGAUAUUUGUGUCAGCUGGGUGUAUGAUCAUGCAUUUCUCUCAUACUCAUCUCAGCAAUGAAUAGAAAUAUGGGCCAUUUGUGUUGUAAAUAACCCCUAAGUGGGUUUGCCUAGCUUCCUGUUGCGUCGGCCCUGAAUCAACAUUCAGACCAACUAGAAUAAUUCGAAACAGCAUGACUGAGUAAUCAUAUUUACACUAUUACUGUUGAUUGCAGCUGUGCCGUGACCUUCCAUUUUUUGUCAUUAGCAUUCACUUUGGAACCCAUGCUAAAUGCUUUCGCAAAGAACUGCCAUUGACUGUUGAGUUUUGCUUCUUACAAGUAAUUUAAAGCCUAUUUGGUGACAUAAUUCAGUUGAGGUUUAGCAAGAAGAAUAAAUAUUCCGAGUAUUGCAGGUUUAGUACUGCGAGAGUUGGCAAAUCUGCAGUGAUGUGGUUUUCAAGAGUCGUGGGUUGCCACCCACUUCUGAAUGAUAAAGGUUUUUGUUCAUGAUGCUGUUCUUUUCCAUAGUGCUGAGGAUUAAGCCUAAGGCCUUUUCCAUCAGCUGGAGAUGGGGGAGGGAAUGUAGCAGAGUGAAUUCUUUCCUCCAUGAACACUGACGUUAUCAAACCUACACAUGUACACGACCCCAUUUAAUGUACGGUAGCAACCGGUUUAAUACAGUUACAUAUACAGUAUGCACAUCACGAUUCUGUGGGAAAAGAGAAUUAUGUAAGCAAUAUUGAGCGAUUUUGUUUGCAUAGACUGUGCAUUGAAAAUGUUGAAGAAUGAUUGCAAAUCUGUCUGAAAAGAUGGAGGCAAAACGGAAUGCUGAUAUAAUGUUGAUGUUUUCCAUAGAAAUCUGUGGCAAUGUCGAAUGAUUCAUUUUAACCUUAUCAGAUUGACAGGCAACAAAACGGCAGCUUUUCAUUCAUUUUGAUUGAUGAAUUGAAUUAAUUUGUGUAUUUAAAAAAAUAAUAAUUUUCAGUGUGAAGUAACUAUGAAGUUACUUAUUAUCUGAAUCACUUUUUUAAAAUGGCUGUGUGAGAGAGAGAAUGAGAGAGGCGGAGAAAAUGUGAAACAGAAGGAACAAGACAGCAUGUGUGCGAGACCAACAGAGACAGGAAGUGGAGGAGAGAAAAUAAUGCUGGCAGCAUUAAAAGUAGGUUAAUGCAUUUAUAUUCUUGCAGUUCUUUAAAAUCGUCUUAGAAAGUCAUGGAAAAGUCACGAAAAGCUCUCAAAUUUCAACUGUGCUCUAAAAGUCAGGGAUAUUGUUCCAAUUAGAGCAAGUGACCUCCAUAUUUCUUUCAAGCUUGUUGUCACUUACUGUGAAGUCUUCAUAUGUUAGUGUACUAAGGCAGAUUCUUCCAAAGUGUUGCUCUCCAGAUGAUAUCUACAACCUACACACAAAACGUAAAUAAAACUGUCCACCAAACAAAAUUGAUUUUUUGGUCGAACUUUUGGCCAUUAAUUUACACAUUGUUCGAUUUGCUUGGCAACCAAUAAUACAAAUUGGCAUUUUAAAAAGCAAUGUGGUAUAAUUAAAUAUGCGCACAGAAAAUUAGUGUGCAGGGAAAACUGGCUUUGAGAGCUUCAAAGAGGACCGUGGCAUGAGUGGGCUGCAGUCUGAGUCCAACGUUGUUGAGUAUGUUGGCUAUACAUGAAUGACUUUGGGUGCAAUAGCAACAGGCUACACUUCCUGGCCCCGCACUACAUGAUAAAGAAGUUCCCCUUUCUUAAUGAAAGCUGUAUGUGCAAAUAAACUCUGUCUGUUUCACUGUGAUCAUCUGUAGGUAUCCGGUGCACACUGAGUCACAUAAUCACUUUCAGUGAGGUGAUGGCGAACAUGGCGGAUGGCAUUUUAUCCCACGUGGAGUCUAGUGGUUUAAGUGGAGUUUUUUUUCUGUGGGGUGGUGCUUGCAGUCUUUCAUUGCUAUGAAAAACAUUAAUUAUUUUGUUUCAUUUUUCCUGGAAUCAAUUACAGGCUUUAUGUGCUUCCUGUCUUGAAAAAAUUGUGCUUUUUAAGUCUGGCUAUAAUGAGAGAUGAAGAAUAUCAUUAUGAUGGGAUGUGAUCGGGAAUCAUACAGUAAACCAAUAAACCCGGAAAACAGACCUCUGGGCCUGUUGAUAUCAGAACAGAGAAAUCAGGCCUAAGUUUGUGAGCGAGGUACUCAAAUUUGAUUUUAUUUCAUUCUAGUUGUCCAUUUAACAUUUAACAUAAAUCUUGAACUCCAGCAGAGAUGAUUAAUUUUGCAUAAUAUUAUCCCCAGGACUCAAUUAACAUUUGUCAUCUACUUUGGAACACAGUUAAAUGUUAAAUUAAAAAUUAUUACUUUUAUUCAGCAAUGGAAAAAUAGAUUAAAAAUUGUGUUUGUGAAGACAUAAUUGUUGCAUUUGCUUAUAAAAUGGCAGCAUUGAAAAAUGUGGAUUGAAUGCAAGGGUUAGUCAUCUUCAGAUUUAAUUAAAUACCAGUUUCCCUUGCCAGGAGCAUUGAACGCAGUGGGGGGAGAAGUGUCAUUAGCUCCCUGCUGUUGAUAAACCGAUGACCAGCCCAUCCGUAUCCUCAAUCCCAGCUUUGCACACUAUAUACAUAUACUGCUGCGUUUAUUGACACAGGUUUCUGAACCAGUCAUGUUUGAAAUAUAUGGGAGGUCCACUGGUUUUUGUCAACAUCUGAGUUGCAAAUUGCUCACUGUCCAUGAAGGUGUAAUAAAAUACACGCAAAUAUUGACAGGCAGUUAGGCUGAGUAAUUAAGCCAUGGAUUCUGGCUAGAUCAGAUGCACCAACCAUACGUUGAUUGUGAAAUGGAAGCUGCUGUUGUGCUUUGGUGAAGCCUGACAAAAUAAUAAUAGUAAUAAUAAUAUUUGUUAUAAAAGUUCACCUGAUAAUUCCCUGAGUUUCUGUGAAUUAAGUAAUUGACACUCAAAGGACUUCUCUUAUCUUACGUGAAUUAUUACAUAUAGUAGGAGUGCCCAUGUUACUUGGGAUGGCAGACCUUUGUAGUUAGGAGUUAGAUGCUGAUAAUCUCACCUGAAGAAAACUGCACACAAGUCUUAUAUGUCCAAGGCCUGUCCUCGUAUAACCCCAUAUGCACUUCGCUUAAAAAAUUUAAGAUGAUGUUUCAAGCAAGUCAGAUCUUCCAACAUCCAACUUGACCUCAGACCAGACGC